AGGCUACAGUCUGCAGUCGGAGAAAAAGCUGCAAACACUUUGGUCUGCAGCGCUGCACAGCUGUAUUUAUCCUCUCCUGCCUUUGUGACCUGUCCCUGUCACACACCCCUUUGUUUCUACGCCCUGUGACCCCACAAGGUCAGGACCCACCCUGUCAGGGACCCAGGAUGGGGGUAACGGCUGUGGUGAGCACUGAAUGGGAUGCCAGUUUGGAUCUGGAGUGUCUCUUGAAGGAGGCAGCUGAAGGCCGGUGUUUAAUUAUCCUGGUGGCUCCUGCAUCUGCAUUUACACCCCCGGACCCCCGCCUACCCUCCUCAGCUUCCCUUCUCCUUCAGAUGUGAAGUAAGAUCAACCAAGUGACUUAUGUGAUAUAUGGAAUAUGUUUACAAUAUGGAGACACACAUUUGGAUGUCACAGCACUUGUAAUCCAAGCAGAUAAUUCCUUCAGAGGAGCGCAGUGCCGGAAAGGAUGGUGUCAGAGGCUAGAGUCGGACAAUUGUACCUCGACACCAAUUCAGAUUGUCACGGAGAAUUCUGUCUCUAGAAUUCAACAAAUUUUGAAUACCCUCUUUGCCCAUGUUUCCUCAAAUCAUCUGUCAUCCUUAGGAAGCACAGAUUCCCAGCUGCUGGAAAAUGAAGCUUGAAGUUCAUGUGAUAAAGAGAAAAAUACUUAAUUCAGAUUCUAAGAAUUAUUUGACCUAAAUCAAUUUCAACUUGAGGAAAUGGGGUCAACUCUCUCUACCCUUCAAGAACCACCCUGGUGAUUAAAAAGUAAAUCUUGAAGAAUUAAAUUAUGUGGCUGCUCAGCUUCCUUAUGCACAGUUAGGAAAAAAUAAGUGCAGAGCAUCAAAGGCUGUCGGAAUAACUCAAUUUAGUGCUGGUGGCAAAGCAUUGCUGAAAAGGGACUUUAUAGGCAGUGAGCUUUGCUCAGGGGAACCACAGCUCACUUCAAUUGGUAUCCAAGAGAAAAGAAGAGGUCUUUCUGAUGAAUAAUUUUAUGACUUUUAACUGCAUGCGUACUGCUUGAAUCUCAAAUUAUUUUAAAUGAGAACUUAAAAAAGGCCCACCUGUUAAAUGAAUAAAAAGUUCUAAACAGCUGCCUAAUAGAACAAAGAGAUUUGGAUUAAAAUGCCAGGGAUGGGAAAGGAGCUGGACUUUAUUGAGACAGCAGUCCCAAGGCACAUGUGCAAGGUUGAGUUCACCCCUGAUGGAAUCAGGGGUCUUAGUCGGUUUGGGCUGUCGUAAUACUAUACCUUAGACCAGGUAAUUAAGAAACAACAGAAAUUUAUUUCUCAUAGUUCUCGAGAGGCCACGAUCAAGGGAAAGAGUGAGUAGCAAUAUCACAUUUUAUUUUUAAAAUAGUACAUAUUUAUGGUGUGAUAUCUGGGUAUAUGUACACAGUGCACAAUGAUCAAAUCAGAGUAACCUGUAUUUCCAUCACCUCAAACACUUGUCAUUUCUUCGUGUGGGGAACAUUUAAAAUCCUCUCUUCUGCCCAUUUAAAAUAUAUUAAUUGUUGUAAACUACAUUCACCUCUGUGCUAUAGAACACUAGAACUUGUUCCUUCUAACUGUAUUUUGGUACCUGUUUCUAACUUCUCACCCCUCUCCCCUUUUUCCAGGGAACCACUAUUCUAU